rnacentral:lncRNA from 1 species
CACAUAUACACCAUGGAAUACUAUGCAGCCAUAAAAAAUGAUGAGUUCAUGUCCUUUGUAGGGACAUGGAUGAAAUUGGAAAUCAUCAUUCUCAGUAAACUAUCGUAAGAACAAAAAACCAAACACCACAUAUUCUCACUCAUAGGUGGGAACUGAACAAUGAGAUCACAUGGACACAGGAAGGGGAAUAUCACACUCUGGGGACUGUGGUGGGGUGGGGGUAGGGGGGAGGUAUAGCAUUGGGAGAUAUACCUAAUGGUAGAUGACGAGUUAGUGGGUGCAGCACACCAGCAUGGCACAUGUAUACAUAUGUAACUAACCUGCACAAUGUGCACAUGUACCCUAAAACUUAAAGUAUAAUAAAAAAAAAAGAUGGAAAGGAAAAACUGGUACCAGCCACUGCAAAAAUGUACUGAAGUACAAAGACCAAUGACACUAUGAAGAAACUGCAGCAACUAGUGAGCAAAAUAACCAGCUAGCAUCAUGGUGACAGGAUCAAAUCCACGCAUAACAAUAUUAACCUUAAGUGUCAAUGGGCUAAAUGUACCAAUUAAAAGACACAGACCAGCAAUUUGGAUAUAAAGAGUCAAGAUUCAGGUGUGCUGUAUUCAGGGUUCCUAUCUCAUGUGGAAAGACACACGUAGGCUCAAAGGGAUGGAGGAAAAUUUACCAAGCAAAUGGAAAGCAGAAAUAAGCAGGGGUUGCAAUCCUAGUUUCUGACAAAACAGACUUUGAAUCAACAAAGAUAAAAAAAAGACAAAGAAUAGCAUCACACAAUGAUAAAGGAAUCAAUUCAACAAGAAGAGCUAACUAUCCUAAAUAUGUAUGCACCCAAUACAGGAGAACCCAGAUUCAUAAAACAAGUCUUUAGAGACCUACAAAGAGACUCAGGCUCCCAUACAACAAUAGUCGGAGACAUUAACACCCCAUUGUAAAUAUUGGAUCAUCUAGACAGAAAAUUAACAAGAAAGGACUGGAACACAGCUCUGGAUCAAGUGAAUCUCAUAGAUAUCUACAGAACUCUCCAACACAAAACAACAGACUAUAUAUUAUUCUCAGUGGCAUAUGACACUCUAAAGUUGAUCACAAAAUUAGAAUUAAAACACUCCUCAGCAAAUGCAAAAUAACUGAAAUCAUAACAAUCUCUCAGACCACAGUGCAAUCAAAUUAGAACUCAAGAUUAAGAAACUCACUCAAAACCACACAACUACAUGGAAAUUGAACAACCUGCUCCUGAGUGACUUCUGGGUAAAUAAUAAAAUUAAGGCAGAAAUCAAGAAGUUCUUUGAAACCAAUGAGAACAAAGAGACAAUGUACCAGAAUCUCUGGGAGGCAACUAAAGCAGUGUUAAGAGGUAAAUUUAUAGCACUAAAUGCCCGCAUCAUAAAGCUAGAAAUAUCUCAAAUCAAUACCCUAACAUCACAACUAAAAGAACUAGAGAAGCAAGAGCAAACAAAUCCAAAAGCUAGCAGAAGAGAAAAAAAAAAUGACUAAGAUCAAAGUGGAACUGAAGGAGACAGAGACAUGAAAAACCCUUCAAAAAAAAAAAAACAAGAAAUAAAACGUGUUCAAAUAGCAAGAGAUAAAAUCAAAUUGUCUCUGUUUGCAGAAAACGUGAUUCUAUAUCUAGAAAACCACAUUGUCACAGCCCAAAAACUCCUUAAGCUGAUAAGCAAGUUCAGCAAAGUCUGAGGAUACAAAAUCAAUGUGCAAAAAUCACAAGCAUUCUUAUACACCAGCAAUAGACAAUAUUCUUCAAUUCCUAUACACCAAUAAUAGACAAGAGAGCCAAAUCAUGAAUGAACUCCCAUUCACAAUUGUUACAAAGAGAAUAAAAUACCUAGGAAUACAGCUAAUGAUGGGUGUGAAGAACCUCUUCAAGGAGAACUACAAGCCACUGCUCAAAGAAAUAAGAGAGGACACAAACAAAUGGAAAAAUAUUCCAUGCUCAUGGGUGGGAAGAAUCAGUCUCAUGAAAAUGGCCAUACUGCCCAAAGUAAUUUAUAGAUUCAGUGCUAUUCACAUCAAACUACCAUUGACAUUCUUCACAGAAUUAAAAAAAAAACUACUUUAAAUUUCAUAUGCAACCAAAAAAGAGACUCAAUAGUCAAGACAAUCCUAAGCAAAAAGAACAAAGCUGGAGGCAUCAUGCUAUAUGACUUCAAACUAUACUGCAAGGCCACACUAAUCAAAACAGCAUGGUACUGAUACCAAAACAGACACACAGACCAAUGGAACAGAAUAGAGAUCUCAGAAAUAAGACCACACAUCUACAACCAUCUGAUCUUUGACAAACCUGACAAAAACAAGCAAUAGGGGAAGGAAUACCUAUUUAUUCAUUUAUUUAUUUUGAGACAAAGUCUCACUCUGUCACCAGGCUGGAGUGCAGUGGCAUGAUCUCAGUUCAUUGCAACCUCUGCCUCCCGGAUUCAAGUGAUUCUCCUGCCUCAGUCUCCCGAGUAGCUGGGACUACAGGUUCGAGCCACCACGCCCAGCUAGUUUUUGUAUUUUUAGUAGAGACGGGAUUUCACCAUGUUGGCCAGGAUGGUCUUGAUCUCUUGACCUCAAGAUCCACCCAUAUCAGCCUCCCAAAGUGCUGAGAUUAUAGAUGUGAGCCACCGCACUUGGCCAGGAUUCCCUAUUUAAAUGGUGCUGGGAAAACUGACUAGCCAUAUGCAGAAAACUGAAACUGGACCUCAUCCUUACACCUUAUGCAAAAAUUAACUCAAGAUGGAUUAAAAACUUAAAUGUAAAACCCCAAACCGUAAAAAACCCUAGAAGAAAAUCUAGGAAGUUCCAUUCAGGACAUAGGCAUAGGCAAAGAUUUUAUGAUGAAAUCAUCAAUAGCAAUUGCAACAAAAGCAAAAAUUGACAAAUGGGAUCUAAUUAAACGUAAGCACUUCUGCACAGGGAAAGAAACUAUCAUCAGAGUGAACAAGCAACCUAUAGAAUGGGAGAAUAUUUUUGCCAUCUACCAAUCUGACAAAGGUCUAAUAUCCAGAAUCUACAAGGAACUUAAACAAAUUUACAAGAAAAUAAUAACCCCAUCAAAAUGUGGGCAAAGGCCAUGAACAGACAUUCUGAAAAGAAGACAUUUAUGCGUCCAACAAACAUAUGAAAAAAAAAAAGCUCAACAUCAGUGUUUAUUAGAGAAAUGCAAAUCAAAACCACAAUGAGAUACCAUCUCAUGCCAGUCAGAAUGGCAAUUAUUAAAAAGUCAAGAAACAACAGAUGCUAGAGAGGCUAUGGAGAAACAGGAACACUUUUAUACUGUUGGGAACGUAAACUAGUUCAACCAUUGUGGAAGACAGUGUGGCAAUUCCUGAAGGAUCUAGAAGCAGAAAUACCAUUUGACCCAGCAAUCCCAUUACUAGGUUUAUAUCCAAAGAAAUCUAAAUCAUUCUAUUUUAAAGAUACAUGCACACUUAUGUUUAUUGCAGCACUAUUCACAAUAGCAAAGACAUGGCAUCAACCCAAAUUUCUAUCAAUGAUAGAUUGGAUAAAGAAAAUGUGAUACAUAUGCACCAUGGAAUACUAUGCAGCCAUAAAAAGGAAUGAGAUCCUGUCUUUUGCAGGGACAUGGAUGAAGCUGGAAGCCAUAAACUUCAGCCAAUUAACACAGGAACAGGAAACCAAACACCACAUGUUCUCAUAAGUGGGAACUGAACAAUGAGAACACAUGGACACGGAGGGGCAGAACACACACCGGAGCCUGUUGGGAAGGUAGGGGGAAGGAGAGCAUCAAGAUAAAUAGCUAAUGCAUGUGGGGCUUAAUACCUAGGUGAUAGGUUGAUAGGUGCAGCAAACCACCAUGGCACAUGUUUAACUAUGUAACAAACCUGCACAUCCUGUACAUGUAUCCUGGAACUUAAAAUAAAAUAGAAAAGACAAAGAAGGAUAUUACAUAAUGGCAAAGGCUUCAAUUCAACAAGAAGACCUAACUAUCCUAAAUAUAUAUUCAUCCAACACAGGAGCACCCAGAUUCAUAAGUAAAGUUCUUAGAGACCUACAAAGUAUGUUUCACAGUAAUAGUGGGAGACUUUCACACUCCAAUGACAGUAUUAGAUCAUUGAGGCAAAAAAAUGAACAAAGAUAUUCAGGACCUGAACUCAACAUUGGAUCAAAUGGAUCUGAUAGACCUUUACAGAACUCUGCACUCAAAAACAACAGAAUAUGCAUUCCUCACAUCAUCAUAUGCCACAUACUCUAAAAUCAACCACAUAAUUGGACAUAAAGCAAUCCUCAGCAAAUGCAAAACAACUGAACUCAUACCAAAUACACACUGAGAUCACAGUGCAGUAAAAAUAGAAGACUAAGAAAAUUGCUGAAAAUCAUGCAAUUACAUGGAAAUCAAUCAACAUGCUCCUGAAUGACUUUUUAAUAAAUAAUGAAAUUAAGGCAGAAAACAAGAAGUUCUUUGAAAAUAAUGAGAACAAAGUUGCAACAUACUAGAGCCUCUGGACAUAGCUAAGGCAAUGUUAGGAGGGAAAUUUAUAGCACUAAAUCCCACAUCAAAAAGUUAGGAAGAACUCAAAUUAAUAACCUAACAUCACAACGGAAAGAACUAGAGAAGCAAGACAAAACCCCAAAGCUAGAGGAAGACAAGAAAUAACUGAAAAUCCGAGCUGAAUUCAAAGAAACCGAGACAUGAAGAAAAAAAAAUUCAAAAGAUCUACGAAUUCAGGGUAGGUUUCUUGAAAAUAUUAAUAAGAAAGUCUGCUAGCAGACUAAUACAGAGGAUGAUUGAAAUAAACACAAUUAGAAAUGACAAAGGGAAUGUAAUUACCACUGACCCCACAGAAAUAGAAACAACCAUCAGAAACUACUGCAAACACUUCUGUGCAUACAAACUAGAAAACUUCAAAGAGAUGGAUAAAUUCCUGGACAAAUACACCCUCCCACAACUGAGCCAGGAAGAAAUUGAUUUGCUGAACAGACCAAUAACAAGCUCCGAAAUUGAAUCAGUAAUAAAUAACCUACCAAUCAAAAAAAGCCCAGAACAUGAUGGAUUCCCAGCCAUAUUCUACUAGAAGUACAAAGAAGAGCUGGUACCAUUUUUACAGGAACUAUUUGAAAAUAUUGAGGAGGAGGAACUCCUCCCCAACUCAUUCUAUGAGGCCAACAUCAUCUUGAUACCAAAAUCUGGCACACACACACACACACACACACACACACACACACACACACAAACUUCAGGCCAAUACCCUUGAUGAACAUCAAUGCAAAAAUCCUCAACAAAAUACGGGCAAACCAAAUCCAGCAGCACAUCAAAAAGUUAAUCCAUCAUGAUCAAGUAUGCUUCAUCCCCAGGAUGCAAGGUUGCCUCAACAUACACGUCAAUUAAUCUGAUUCAUCCCAUAAACAAAACUAAAGAUAAAAACCAUGUGAUUAUCUCAAUAUAUGCAGAAAAGGCUUUCAAUAAAAUUCAAGGCCUCUCCAUAUUAAAAACUCUAAAAAAUCUGGGUAUUGAGGAAACAUAGCUCAAAGUGAUGAGCUGUUUUUGUACCAGUAUCAUGCUGUUUUGGUUACUGUAGCCCUGUAGUAUAGUUUGAAGUUGGGUAACAUGAUGCCUCCAGCUUUGUUCUUUUUGCUGAGGAUUGCUUGGCUAUUAGGGCUCUUUUUUUUUUUGGUUCCAUAUGAAUUUUGAAAUAGUUUGCUCUAGUUCUGUGAGGAAUGCCAUUGGUAAUUUAAUAGGGAUAACUUGCAUCUGUAAAUUACUUUGGGCAGUAUAGCCAUUUUAAUGAUGUUAAUUCUUCCUAUCCAUGAGCAUGAAAUGUUUUUCCAUUUGUUUGUGUCUUCUCUGAUUUCUUUGAGCAGUGUUUUGUAAUUCUCCUAGAGAUCUCUUAGAGAUCUUUCACCUCCCUGGUUAGCUGUAUUCCUAGGUAUUUUAUUUUUUCUGUGUGUAGCAAUUAUGAAUGGGAUUAUGUUCUUCAUUUGACUCUCUGCUUUACUGCUAGGAAUUUUUGCACAUUGAUUUUGUAUGCUAAGACUUUGCUAAAGUUUAUCAGCAGAAGGAGCUUUGGGGCUAAGACUAUGGGGUUUUCUAGAUAUAGAAUCAUGUCAUCUGUAAACAGAGACAGUUUGACUUCCUGUCUAUUCCUCUCUUCCCUCCUCUAUUUGGAUGCCCUUCCAGUUUUGCACAUUCAGUGUAAUGUUGGCUGUGGGUUUGCCAUGGCUAGCUCUCAUCAUUUUGGCACUUCCGACUAGAAGUGCGAGAGGGGCCAGUGUUGUUGUUACCUGAAAGGUAAGUGCAGCCCACAAAAAUGCAGUGAAGAAGAAGAUAUAUGCAUAUGUUUAAGUUAAUACAAUUGAGAUACAUUUAGCAGACAGAAUCAAUAGAGUUGAUGAGUGACUGACUGGAUGUGUGGGGAGUUUAUAUCACUCCCAGGUUUUUGACUUGGGCAACCGGGCACUCAAGAAGGAAAAAGAGGAUCCAGGGAGAGGAACUUUUCUGAGGACUGGGGUAGGGCUGAACAGCUGCAUUCGAGACUGGUGGAGGGUGGGCUGGGCAUGGGAUGCACAAAUGGAAAUUCCACUGGGUCUGCAGCUCACACAUAGGCAUGACCAGCAUAGAGAUAGAGAGGCCCCAGUGCUGCUGAGUAACUGUGAUUCCCCAGGUGAUGGCAUCAGCUGAGAAGGGAAGGAAGCCCAUGUGAGGACACUGAAGAAGGAGUGAGCAGACAAUAAGAAGCCCACAGAAGACAGAGAAGGAACAACUAGAGGGAGAAGCCAAGGCAGGCAUGUGUGAUAACAUAUAGGAACUGAGGGAGAGGACAUUUCAAGAUGGAGGGGAUGCCAUACAACAGGACUAUGUGAUGGUUUUUGGCUGUGUCCAUAGGAAGUCACAACAGGCAAGGGAAAGAAACCAGAACCCAGUCAUGGAGUUAAGAAGUGAGUCAGAGAGGAGAUGGGUAGGGACAGUGAGGUAAGGCCUCUUUCUAAGGAAGUUUGGCUGAAGGAUAGACUAGCUGGACACAUGCUGGCUGUGUGGGGUAGAGGGAGGAAUGAUGGAGGGUAGGAGAGCCUUGAGCCUGCGAGAAGAGUCUCCUAGAAUAGAGAAGCUGAGGUUAAAGUUGUGGAAGACAGUGGGGAUAACUGAGUGACAGAUAAUCAGGAGAAGAAAAGGAGAUCCAGAAUCAUGACAGAGAGAUGACCUUUGCCAAGAGCACAGCCAUCUUUCACUGUCACAGAGAGGUAGGACAAAACGAUUGGUGUUCAAGAAUUGGUUUGUAGCACAAUAUUUUAACUAUGUCCUUUAAAAAGUUUCUCCACAGACACUACCCAAAGCAGUCCUUCACUACAGUGGCAGACAGACCUGAAAAUUUUCAUCUGAAGCAGCAGAGUGAACUGCAGAGUCAGGUCACCAACCAGUGUGGAGGCUAAAAGCGGGCCUCUUUGGGGAUUCCAGGUGGAAGUGUUGGACAUCUGUAGUAUUCCUGGUCUCAAAUCAUCCUGAUAUUCUUCAUUUUGUUAUUCACAUUGGACUAGGGCAAGGAAAUGAGUUCUGGUCAGAGUCAAUGUUUCCCAACAAUGUUGAUUUAUUUGGUCCUAAAUAUUUAAACACAUUUUAUAAAUAGCUUUUCCACACCACAUAUAUAGGGAAAAACAGGGAAUUAACUUGGCCCAGCAGCACUGUUUGUGGGGCUAACACCCUGUGUAUCUCACACCAACCCUAAGCUUUGUUUCCCUCCUGUCACUUUGCUCCUAUUUCUUUCAUAUGAAAGAAUGUUCAUUUUCUUUGAAAAUGAGCUCAUUUCCUCAUUUUCUUUCCAUCUUUCAGCAGGAACAAAGAUCACCACAACUGGCUCCCCUUCAACUAUGUUAGAUGGCAACUUGCCUUCAGUAUGGUGAAACACAUCAGUUAAGACUGGGGUUGUGCAUGGCAGGACUUUCUACAAGGACACCCAGUCUCCUUAAUAAACAUGAGAUGCUCUCUUUCCAGAAGUUCUCUUGCCUGACACAGCAUAGGAAGAUGCUGAACGGCCACACAGUGACCCAUUGGUCAGUGGUGAUGUAAGGAGGUCGGAGGGGAGGAGUGAGGAGAAGUAGGGAAGACUAGGUGGUUGUAGGCCUCCUUCAUCUGUUCAUUGGCUGUGGCAUUAGGCCAGCUACUCUUUGCACUUCUGUAAAGUGAGACGGUCGAUCUUGUCUGCCUCUCUAGAGGAUGGCUGCAGGUGUCAAAUGGGGUAGUUAGGUGGGAGGGCAUUUCACAAAGUUAAAAAAUAUGACUUUGGAGGCUUGUUAUAUUGAUGAGGAUUAUAAUCCCUGAGAAUUCCUGGUAUGAAAAAGGGAAAAGAAGAUAAUUUGUGAAAGAAAUAAGUGUCCAGUUACUAGUCUUUGAAAAGGGUCAGUCUGUAGCUCUUCUUAAUGAGAAUAGGCAGCUUUCAGUUGCUCAGGGUCAGAUUUCCUUAGUGGUGUAUCUAAUCACAGGAAAGAUUGUGGUUCCCUCCAGUCUCUUUCUGGGGGAAUUGAGCCCACUUCUCAUUUCAUUUAAUUAGAUGAAAUAGAACUCAAAGUACAAUUUACUGUUGUUUAACAAUGCCACAAAGACAUGGUUGGGAGCUAUUUUUUGAUUUGUGUAAAAUGCUGUUUUUGUGUGCUCAUAAUGGUUCCAAAAAUUGGGUGCUGGCUAAAGAGAGAUACUGUUACAGAAGCCAGCAAGAAGACCUCUGUUCAUUCACACCCCCGGGGGUAUCAGGAAUUGACUCCAGUGUGUGCAAAUCCAGUUUGCCUAUCUUCUCAAGUUAGGGUUGAUCGGAUAAUUAUGGAGAAGUACACAUUGAAAACUAGAACUAAGCCAAGCAAUUAAAUACGUUUCCUGCCUAUUACAUGCCUUGGUACUGUGCACAAGAGCUCACUGGGCAUCUGAGGGAAGAUCACUAACACACACCUCAAAUGACUGUGUCUGAUUUCCUAGGAGGACUCAGAAAGGGAGUGAUCACUGUGGAUUGGACUGGAUAGUGCCUCAUGCUGGAGGUGGGCUUUGAAUGGAGCCUUGAAGGUCGAGAAAAAGUGAUAUAAACACUGGCUCCUUCCUUUUAAAGGGACACCACACUGUUUGGGCUUAGUGGUUAUAGAUGCCUUUAGCACAGCCCAGGAGCAAGCAUUUAUUGUCUACCUAUCACGUGCUUGGCUUUGGAAAUGCAAAUAAAAAAGGAGGUCACUAUUUUAUGAAAGGAUGAUUUUAUUCUACCUGAUGUAGCCAGCUGCAAGCUUCAGAAGGCAGCACAUACAAUAAUGAUGGGCUGGUGAGAUGAGAGCUAAUGGAGAGAUGUACAAAGUGCCAUGGGAUCACCAAGCAGUGGUCAGGUGAAGGCAUCUGAUUUUCUUUAAGAUCUUGCUCAAAUGUCAUCUCCUCUAGAAGAAAAUGUAGGGCUUCAUCAGUCAGACAACAUGGGGAAAUUGAUCUCAGUUCAAGAAACAUGUACAUGUAUUGAUUAUCUAAUACAUUCAAGCAGUUGUGCACUGGGGAUAGAAAAAUAUCAUCAUCAUCAUCAUCAUCAACAACAACAAUCUUGCUGUAUGCCAGGCACAUAAUUUUACAUGUAUUAUCUCAUUUAAUCUCAAACAACUCUAUGCUAUAGGUGUUUAUUAUUAUCCCUAUUUAGAUGAAACAUUUAACCUUCAGAGAAUUUAAAUAAGUUGCACUUGCAAGCUUAGCAGGUGAGGAAUCAAAUUUGGAAUAGGACCUAGAUCAGUGAUCCCCUAGAUCUACAAUCUUAACCAGUACCCUGUUCUCUCUGCUUAGAGAGCACCUAGAGAAAAUCUGUAAGCAAAUAAUCACAAAACAAGGGAUGACACAAUAUAUGUAAAUGUAGGAUUUUACAUUAAGUGGAAGAAGGAAGGUCAUUAUUUACUUUUUCUGGGUGAGAGAUGAAAACACUUCUGCAAGAGUAUUUCCAAUUUCACCAAAGUAUGGAAAGAUGUUUAUCCUAAUAACAAUACUCAGUAAAUGGUAUUUGAUUUAACUUCAGCCUAGUACAUGAUUUGAUUCUAAAACAGAACAUUUCCUUAGAAUUUCGAUAUCUGGAAUUCUGUAGCUCAAUGGUUUUGGUGGAAAAUUGACUAUUAAUAUUUUAUAUACUUUUAAUAGUUUUGGGGCUAAAUGAAUCAAAUCUAUUCAUAACUCUAAGUUUUCAAAUUCUGACAUCUUUUAGAGUUGUUUAGUUAAAACUAGCUCUUUUCUUCCAGUUCGUUAGCUUACCAAAUGAGCCAAAAUAAAAAACAAAAAUUUAUUUUCAGUCCGAUAUAGAAAGUUAUUUAUAGUUACAUGGUGCUAUCUCUUCCUUUAAAAACAUUUCUUCUUUCUUUUUUUCUCCCUUUCUCUUUUUGAGGGGAUUAUAAACACUGCCAGUAUUUUUUGCCUAAAGGGUAAAUCCUCUUAAACUCUUUUGGGAUCUAUAUUAGGUGCCAGAUGGUCAUAAGAAAAUUAUGUGAGAUACUGGUGAAUAAACAAGCAAACCAGAAGCUAGGUUUUCAGAAUAGAUGCUAGCCAGUAGUUCACAGGCAUUAUCCAGCAACUGGUGGGGAUCUACUUGGCCAGCCCGUGACCACUGAGAUGUGAACUUCCCUGGACCUUGGCAGUCAAGAGGGAGAGAGGCAGAGAAAGCUCCAUUAUCAUCACUAAUUCCCUUUUGACCACACGUGACAGCAUGACCUGCUUCAAAGAAAUAAGAUAAAUGGUGGUUAGGUGCCCCCACAGGCCCACAGUAGCCCAUUCAACAAAGAGCAAAAGUAAAACUAUUCCUGAUGGAUUUAGCAACAUCAUAGUUCACUUGUGAGGCAACAGGCUUUUAUUGCUUGCUUUGGGACUGGCUUCUUCUCACUUUCUGUGGGAAAGUGAGCCUACCUGACUUAGAAACAAAAUUUUGGAACACAAACCCUUUGUAAGUUGGGAGAUCCCUAAACUAAAAUUUCAAGUGAGAUGAAAAGCCCCUUGAGAAAGAAAUUUCUGGCUGGGCAUGGUGGCUGAUACCUCUAAUUCCAGCACGUUGGAAGGUUGAGGCAGGAAGAUCACUUGAGGCCAGGAGUUUGAGACCAGCCUAAGCAACAUAGGGAAACCCCUGUGAUAUAGUUUGGAUCUGUGUCCCCACCCAAAUCUCAUGUUGAACUGUAAUCCCCAGUGUGGUAGGUGGGGUCUGGAGGGAGGUGACUGGAUUAGGAGGGUGGAUUUCUCAUGAAUGGUUUAGUACUAUCUCCUUGGUACUCCUCAUGAUAGCAGGUGAGCUCUCGCAAGAUCUGGUUGUUUAAAAGUGUGUGGUAUCUCCCCCCUCACUCUCUUGUUCCUGCUUUCACUAUGUGACAUGCCUGCUCCCCCUUCACAAUCUGCCAAUAAAUUGUGGCAGGUUAUGAGUGUGUGUAAUUUAUGAGUGCUGAUAGGAUGAAAGAUAGAAAAUGAUUUUAGAUAGAAAGAAAAUAAUUCUGGAAGCUUUGAGUCUUCCUCUUGUAAUCUAUGUUGGUUCUUUUUUAAUAUACCCUGUUUCAGCACUUACUGACUUGGAGUCUCUCUCACAAUGACUAAAUGUAAUAUGAGAUUCUAGGAUGUAUACUAGAACAGAAAAUGGAAACUAAAUAAAAACUGAGGAAUUCUGAAAAAGUAUGGUCUUUAGAUAAUAAUAAGAUAACAAUAUUGAUGCCUUAAUUGUAAUGAAUGCACCACACUAAUAUAAAAUUUUAGUAAUAGAGAAAGCAGAGUUUGGGUACUUACCAGGAAUAUUAUACUAUUUUCACAAUGUUUCUGUAAACCUUAAAGUGUUCAAAAAUUAAAAUUUUAUUUAAGUCAGUUGCAAUAUAUAAGAUUAAUUGAACCAAAAUUGUGGAAAAUAUAACUUCUGUUAUAAUGUUCCUUGGAAGCUUCUAAAGACAAGGCCUUUCUUUUCUAUUUUUAGUAAAAAUUACACGUAUUUUCAAGUCAAACUGUUAAUAUGUGACAAUAUUUGCAGUACUGAAAGCUUAAUAACUUAUAGAUUCAUGGUAAUGAAAAGCAAAGCAUAGUGUUUUUGGUUUUGGAAUACUGUAUGAAAUAUGUAAUCUUUUUUUUUUUAAAGAUGGAUUCUCACUCAUUUGCCCAGGCUGGAGUGCAGUGGGAUGGUCUCAGCUCACUGCAACUUCUGCCUUCUGAGUUCAAGCAAUUCUUCUGCCUCAGCCUCCCCAGUAGCUGGGACUACAGGCAUGUGCCACCAUACCUGGCUAAUUUUUUUUUUUUUUUUUUGUAUUUUGAGUAGAGAUGGGGUUUCACCAUUUUGGCCAGGCUGGUCUCGAAUUCCUGACCUCAGGUGAUCUGCCCACUUUGGCCUCCAAAAGUGCUGGGAUUACAGGCAUGAGCCACCAUGCCUGGCCAAAACAUGUAAUCUCUUAUUCAAGGUUUAUAAUAACAGUUAUGUGAUACUCAGUAAGGGACGGUGAUCUAUAUAAAAUAAAAGGCCAGGCACAGUGGCUUAUGCCUGUAAUCUCAGCAUUUUGGGAGGCCAAGACACGAGGACUGCUUGAGUUCAAAACCAGCUUUGUCAGCAUAGUGAGACCUCAUCUCUACAAAAAAAUCAAAAACAUUAGCUGGGGGUGGUGUCACACACUGGUAGUCCCAGAUAUUUGGGAGGAUGAGGUAGGAGGAUCCUACCUGAGCCUGGAAGACAAAGGCCACUGCACUUCAGCCUCGGUGACAAAGUAGGAUCCUAUCUCAAAAUAGAUAGAUAGAUAAAUAGAUAGAUCAAUGUUAUUUAUCUCAAUAUUUGAAAGAAAAGUUGAAAAACCUCUGAGCUCAACUAAGAAUCAGUUUCUAGAAUAAAGAGAAGUAUAAAUCAUUAUACCUCUUUACUUUAAAAAUAUUACAGACAUUAUAAGUAUUUUAAUAACAAAAAAAUCAAAUACUUUAUAUAUACUUUGUAAUCUGUCCUUUACAAAAUCAUUUAACCUUUAUGACAGGAGCUACUAUGGUGCUCAUUCCACAGAUGAGGUGCUGAGGUUUAGUGAACUGAAUAGCUUGUUCACAGACAGUUGGAGACAGAGACUCAGUUUGCCCAUACAAAGAUAAUUUUAACCAAUAGCAUUUUACAAUAGAAUAUCAUAAUACCUAUGAAUUCUAAAAACAUUUUAUUCAAAUCUCUCUUUUAAUAUUAGCACCUCUUCAACCUCUUCUUGACUCUACCACCAAAUUUAUCUUCCUAAUUUCUCUUACCCUGUAAAUUUCUGUGUGUGUGUGUGUGUGUGUGUGUGUGUGUGUGUGUGAGAGAGAGAGAGAGAGAUAGAGACAGGGAAAGAGUGAGUUUACCAAAAAAAUAAGAUAGGAAGGUUGUCGUAACAUCUUCCAUUUCUCAAUUCUGAAGUCCCCAUUUUCAUCCCUGGGAGAGUUGUUCUAGGAUAGGGUAGCUAAAGGAACAGAGAAAAUCAGAGUAAUGGAAUUAGCUAAAAGGGAAAGUGGUGACCUGAAGACCAAACACUAAAGAAGGGGCCAGUGAAUGGCAAAGAAAGUGCAGAGCAAAAAACAUGCAGGUAGAUGGGGUCCUAGUUAGUGAAGGCCCACAGGCUGGAGGGUAAACCCAUGCAAGGGUCAAGUUUAAUACAGUGAAAAUAUAAGAUGGGAGACCUACCACAGAGAACCAACACUUGGCAUGUUUCUGAUGACAGUGUUUAGAUUGCAGUGGUUCUAAAAAUUAAGUGAUUUUGGAAUUGGCAUUCCAUGUCAUUUUAAAAGAUAAAUGAUAAAGUAAAUGUUUUAUUCAGAUCUCUCUCUCCCUCCCCACCCACCUUUUUCCCUCCAUUCUUCUGUUUUUAAUGGGGACGUUUAAAAUCCAAUCUCACAUUAAUUUUUUCUUAAGUGUAAAUAAUGGGAAAACUUCACUUCGAGAGGGGGCUCCUCAGUAGACCUCCAUAAUUUCCUGGCUUUUACUGCCAGUUAGUCAUCAGGAAUAGCCAUGGCUAAGAGAGUACCAACUGGGCAAGCCAGUGAAUUAUACCAGUGCAUCUCAGAUUUAUUGAUUUGUUUAACUUUUGUUUUUUGUUCUUUUUUUUUUUUCAGAGAUAGAAUCUCACUAUGUUGACCAGGCUGGUCUUGAACUCUUGGCACCCAAGCGAUCCUUUUGCCUGGAAUCCCAAAGUGUCAGAUUUACUGAAGAAUAUUUCAUUGUAAUUACUUUUUAUACUUUAUAGGUCAAGAGCUCUGUUUUAAAGACAAAAUUUAUUGAAUAUACUUUUUCAAACAAAGUUUCAUGUUCUAAUCAUUGUCUGAUUUCAGCAUUAAAUGAAACACAGUAAAGAAAGUUGGG